AAAAUCCUCUUGGUCAGAGCCUUAAAUGCCUCCAAAAUGGAACUGAUUGGGAAGAACGAUGGCUGGCUGACAGGCUGCCUCUCACAAGACCACAUCAGCUGAUGACAAAGCAGCCAUUCAAGAAAAAGAAACAACAAGCAAAAAGGAGGGAAAAAAGGGAAGCAGCUCAUGGGCUGAACCUGAGGCUCU